rnacentral:tRNA from 1 species
GGGCCCGUAGCUCAGCUGGUCAGAGCAGGGAACUCAUAAUUCCAAGGUCCCGGGUUCGAGUCCCGGCGGGCCCA